GGGGGCGUAGCUCAGAUGGUAGAGCGCUCGCUUGGCAUGGGAGAGGUACGGGGAUCAAAACCCCACGCCUCUA